rnacentral:rRNA from 1 species
CGUGUAGGCGGUCAAGUAAGUGGAAUGUGAAAUCCCUCGGCUUACCCGAGGACCUGCAUCCCAAACUGCUUGGCUUGAGUAUGGGAGAGGAUGAGGGAAUUCCUGGUGUAGCGGUGAAAUGCGUAGAUAUCAGGAGGAACACCGGUGGCGAAAGCGCUCAUCUGGCCCAAUACUGACGCUGAGGCGCAAAGCUAGGGAGCAAACG